GAUGAAGAACGCAGUGAAAUGCGAUAAGUAGUGUGAAUUGCAGAAUUCAGUGAAUCAUCGAAUCUUUGAACGCACAUUGCGCCCCUUGGUAUCCCGAGGGGCAUGCCUGUUCGAGCGUCAUUUCACCACUCAAGCCUGGCUUGGUGUUGGGCGACGUCCCCUUUGGGGACGCGCCUCGAAACGCUCGGCGGCGUGGCACCGGCUUUAAGCGUAGCAGAAUCUUUCGCUUUGGAAGUCGGGGCCCCGUCUGCCGGAAGACCUACUCGCAAGGUUGACCUCGGAUCAGGCAGGGAUACCCGCUGAACUUAAGCAUAUCAAGCGGAGGA
rnacentral:misc_RNA from 1 species